CCACAGAGAAGUGGGUGACUUAGGAGUAUCCUCUCCGCUUCUGACCCUUGGUUUCGUCUGUGCACAACUCACUCAAAAUGGGCAACUCAUUAAGCAUAUUUUGUUCCUGGUUCCGCCACAGGUCCUGGCCAUGCCAUUGGCAACCUGCUCGUCUUGUCCAUGAGGCCUUCCCAGCUGGCCGGGCUAACCCCGCGGCUCCUGCACCUGUGCCUGCCCGGGGAAUCGUGGGCCGUUUCCCACUCCUCUUCAACCCUCAGCGACAUCUUGGGCCUUCUUUUCCAGUCAGUUGGGACGGCGCCCCUAUGAGGCUGUGUCUUAUCCCUCGGAACAUGGGCACCCCACAGAGGGUCCUGUCUCCUGUGGUCUGGAGCCCCGCCUCAAGGAAGAAACCCAUGCUGUCUGCUCACAACUCCAGGAUGUUUGGACACCUCAGCCCCGUGAGGAUUCCUCAUCUCAGAGACUUCCAGCAAAUUCAACAACUCUGGAACCCAGCCAGGAAUCUAGAAGUCAUGGCAAACAAGGUCACAUGCUGUGAC
rnacentral:lncRNA from 1 species